rnacentral:rRNA from 1 species
GACGAACGCUGGCGGCGUGCUUAAUACAUGCAAGUCGAACGGAAAGGCCCUGCUUUUGUUGGGUGCUCGAGUGGCGAACGGGUGAGUAACACGUGUGUAACCUGCCCUUGACUUUGGGAUAACUUCAUGAAACUGGGGCUCAUAUCGGAUAGGAGCUUCUGCUGCAUGGUGGGGGUUGUUAAGAUUCGGCGGUUCGGGAUGGCCUCGCGGCUUAUCAGCUUGUUGGUGAGGUAGUGGCUUACCAAGGCUUUGACGGGUAGCCGGCCUGAGAGUGUGACCGGCCACAUUGGGACUGAGAUAGGACCCAGACUCCUACGGGGGGCAGCGGUGGGAAAUAUUGCACAAUGGGCGGAAGCCGGAUGCAACAACGCCGCGUGCGGGAUGACGGCCUUCGGGUUGUAAACCGCUUGCGCCUGUGACGAAGCGUGAGUGACGGUAAUGUGUAAAGAAGCACCGGCUAACUACGUG